rnacentral:rRNA from 1 species
UACAGAGGCCUCAAGCGUUGUUCGGAAUCACUGGGCGUAAAGGGUGCGUAGGCGGCGCGGAAAGUCAGGGGUGAAAUCCCGAGGCUCAACCUCGGAACUGCCUUUGAUACUGGCGAUCUUCGAGUCCGGGAGAGGUGAGUGGAACUCCGAGUGUAGAGGUGAAAUUCGUAGAUAUUCGGAAGAACACCAGUGGCGAAGGCGGCUCACUGGCCCGGUACUGACGCUCAGGUGCGAAAGCGUGGGGAGCAAACAGG